rnacentral:rRNA from 1 species
CCUACGGGUGGCAGCAGUAGGGAAUGUUCGGCAAUGGGGGAACCCGGACCGAGAAACGACGAGUGAACGAAGAAGUUAUUCGUAAUGUAAAGAUCUUUUAACAGGGAAGAAAGAGAAAUUUGACGGUACCUGACGAAUAAGCACCGGCUAACUACGUGCCAGCAGCCGCGGUAAUACGUCGGGAGCGGGCGUUAUCGGGAAUUCUUGGGCGUAAAGGGUGAGAGGUUGGCACAGAAAGUACUUUGUAAAAAUGCGGGGUUAAUCCCAGGAGGGCAAAAGAUACUGCGAAGCUAGAGUAUUACAGAGGCAAGCGGAACUAGCGGUGUAGCGGUGAAAUGCGUAGAUAU